rnacentral:rRNA from 1 species
GACGAACGCUGGCGGCGUGCUUAACACAUGCAAGUCGAACGAAGAGCGAUGGAAGCUUGCUUCUAUCAAUCUUAGUGGCGAACGGGUGAGUAACGCGUAAUCAACCUGCCCUUCAGAGGGGGACAACAGUUGGAAACGACUGCUAAUACCGCAUACGAUUUAAUCUCGGCAUCGAGGAUAGAUGAAAGGUGGCCUCUACAUGUAAGCUAUCACUGAAGGAGGGGAUUGCGUCUGAUUAGCUAGUUGGAGGGGUAACGGCCCACCAAGGCGAUGAUCAGUAGCCGGUCUGAGAGGAUGAACGGCCACAUUGGGACUGAGACACGGCCCAGACUCCUACGGGAGGCAGCAGUGGGGAAUCUUCCGCAAUGGACGAAAGUCUGACGGAGCAACGCCGCGUGAGUGAUGACGGCCUUCGGGUUGUAAAGCUCUGUUAAUCGGGACGAAAGGCCUUCUUGCGAAUAGUGAGAAGGAUUG